CAUGCCGCGUGUGUGAAGAAGGCCUUCGGGUUGUAAAGCACUUUCAGCGAGGAGGAAGGGGUUGUAGUUAAUAGCUGCAAUUUUUGACGUUACUCGCAGAAGAAGCACCGGCUAACUCCGUGCCAGCCACUUCGGUGACUGAGCGGGCUGGCAAGGCGCAUA
rnacentral:rRNA from 1 species